UGCGCCCCCCGGCAGUUAGGCGAACAUAUCACCCCAUAUUUGCAUCAAUGUAGAUUAUACCGUGUUACCCGCCUACCACAUAUAGAUAUUGAUUGGAGUCUCAUCACUUCUUUGGUGGAGCGAUGACAAUCUAGUACCCAUGCAUUUCACCUACCUAAUUGUGAAAUGACUAUAACUCUACAGGAUAUAGCAAUCCUUACAGGAUUGCCUAUUGAUGGCAAUGCAGUGUGCGGGCCAAUAAAUUUGAAUUGGAAUACAAUAUGUCGUAAUUUACUUGGGGUGACACCACCUGCAGUAGCAUUGAAUUUUGGUGGCCUUAAAAUAACAUGGGUAAGGGAUACAUUCUCAAACCUACUAGAGGGUGUCAAUGCUGUAACAAUUCAACAGUAUGUUAGGGCAUACAUGUUUCAGGUUUUGGCUUUACUAUUUGGAAAUAAGAGACAAAGUAUAUUGUAUUGCUGCUUUCUCAAGCUGUUAGAUGACUUUGGUGAAGCUGGGGAAUAUAGCUGGGGUAGUGCUACACUUGCUUACCUUUAUAAAGGGCUGUGUAUUGCUGCUAUUAAAAAAAGCACGGAGAUUGCAGGUCCUGUUUUUAUAUCACAAUUAUGGGCGUGGGAGCAUCUUCCAUAUCUGACCCCAAUUCCAAUAAAUCCAACAAAUUUAAAUGGUGACGACCCAUACGGUCGCAUGUAUAAUAUUUACUUUUUAUUUCUAUACAAUUUUGUAAUCCUUGAAACUUCCAAACCCUAAAUAUUGUAUGACAAUCAUUAAUUGUGUAUAGGUGGGAUACCAAGAAAAUGUUUAUUCACACACCAACACAUGUUCUGCGUGCGUACCGUUCUAAUCACGACACACAUAAUAAUGAACAGGUUGUUUGGACACCAUACGAUAAGAAUUUGCAUCCAUGGUGUCUUGUAGAAAAAAAUAUAUGGACUACAAUAGCGCCAUUGUUGUGCUUCCAAAUUGUAGAGUAUUACCACUCAAAAAGAGUCAUGCAACAGUUUGGGUUGUUGCAAAGAUAUCCAAGGUGGUCUACUGACAAUUUGGAUAAAUCUGUGCAUUGUGUAAAGUUGACAGAAAAGUCCACUGUCAAUUGUAAAAUGCAGCAUGAACAAUACUACCAGCGUUGGAACAUGCGAGCUGAACUUCUAGGUUGAGAUGAACAUUUUGAUUCAAGUGUGGACUACACAACAUGGUACUAGCAAAAUGGUCACCUAUUCACGACACCAGAGACGGUUGCCCAUAUGUACCAGGUCAAUAAUAUGUUAAAUUUAGCUGUUGCAAACCAACAGAGGAAUGAUCUCACAGCACAACAAGUCCUUCCACCAAUAGUAGAUGGCCUUACCCGAUUGAAGUUAUCGAUGGAAGCAAAUAUUUCCUCCAUCCCUACUGAGAGGGUGACAACCUUCGGGCGACAACAAAGGCGCCAAGAAAGACAUCCGCAAACCUAUACUGAAACCCGCUCGUCCACCUCUGCACAACGUGGACAAUUCGGAAAUGAUAAUGCCGGACCAUCCACCUCCGCACAACACAAUAUGUACAGCUCUACCCAAGCUAGGUCGUCAACAUUUGCUGGUAAUGAGUCAACCACCUUCAGUGAGUAUAAUGCUGGUAAUAAGCUAACUACCUUCAGUAAGUAUAAUCCAAUUAAUGUCAACAAGUAUUGCAUGAAUUUAUAUAAAUGGAUUGGGUCAUCUACUUCCAUAGGACAAGAAUUUGAGGGUUUUUUUAGCUAUGACCAUUAUCCCUAACCUAAUUCAACACCUCCGUCCUAUCACCCAUUGCCAGCUCCAU